GCAUAUUUGGAUUGUUGGUGUUCGAAGAAUUGAGCGUAACUUUUGCACACGGUUUUCGACGAAAGAACUCUGCUGGGCCAACAUUGACACUAAGAGACGAAAGCUAGGGGAGCGAAUAGGAUUAGAUACCCUAGUAGUCCUAGCCGUAAAUGAGUUUUAGGCCCAUAAGUACUUUUUGGAAAUGUAGC
rnacentral:rRNA from 1 species